UACUACUACUACUACAGCAGUGAUGGCGAGGAGCGCCGUCCGCCCCGUUGGGCUGCCCUGAGGGCCUGCCGGCUGCCUUCACCCCGCCGAAGAGAAAGAGGCGGCGGCCCGGUGGCGCCCGCCGCGGGGAGGGCGGUUCUGCCGGCUGCCGGCGAGCCGCGGGGAGGAAGGGGCUCGCCCCCAGGGCCACCGGUAUUUCCUCCGGCCCCUGCCCACCCCCGGGAGAGGCGCAGUCGGUGGGCGGGGGGGGUGAGAGGGAGAAAGAAAGUGAAUGGCGGAGGAUUGAAAGUGUCACAUUCAGAGGCGCUAAUCUAUAGGCGGCGGAGGACCGGUCCUCGCCCCCUCUCUGUCUCUGAGGGGAGGAGGAGGGGAGGGGGUGGUUAGCGGCGGUGCCGAGGCGCCUCAGCCCAUGCUCUGCGGGAGCCGGGGGGGGUUUGUGCGUGGUUUCUCUCUGCCCUGCCGUGAGCGCAAAGCUAACUGCGUGUGUGUGUGUGUGUGUAUGUGUGUCUGUCUCUCUCCAUACCGGGGGAUUGCACUCUUAAAAUACACCCGAUACAAUGCACCAGCCUGACUCAGCCGCAGACAUUAGUGCUAGGAAGAUGGCGCACCCGGCAAUGUUUCCUAGAAGGGGUAGCAGCAGUAGCAGCGGCAGCAGCUGCGUUACGGCUCCCACUGCAUCAGGUACCGGCGUUGGGAGCGCUGCCCUUUCUGCCGAGGAUUAUCAGCCACCUUUGCUGGUCCAGCCGCCGCCUCCGUCUCCUGCAGCAUCUUCAUCAGCGGGUCCACAGCCGACACCCCCUCCUCCACAAAGCCUGAACCUCCUCUCGCAGUCUCAGCUCCAGCCACAGCCUCUUACACAGACCGGAGCUCAAAUGAAAAAGAAAAGUGGCUUCCAAAUCACCAGUGUGACCCCUGCUCAAAUAUCAGCUAGUAUGAGCUCUAAUAACAGCAUAGCUGAGGAUACAGAAAGCUACGAUGAUCUGGAUGAGUCCCACACUGAAGAUCUGUCAUCUUCGGAAAUCUUGGAUGUUUCUUUAUCCAGGGCCACUGACUUGGGAGAACCUGAGAGGAGCUCCUCUGAAGAGACUUUAAAUAACUUCCAAGAGGCAGAGACUCCUGGAGCUGUUUCUCCAAACCAGCCUCAUCUUCCUCAGCAGCAUGCUCCUCUGCCUCAUCACCCACAGCAGAGUGUUGUGAUCAAUGGAAGUGUUCACCCCCAUCAUGUUCAUCACCAUCACCAUCUUCACCACCACCAUCAUGGACACCACCAUCCGUCGCAUCCUGGGGUGGGCAGUGCCCCAGUUUCUGGAGGACCACCGCCCAGUCCAUCAUUUAGAAAACUGUCAACAACUGGAAGCUCUGACAAUGUUAUAUCAAUUGCACCAGUUUCUGCUGCAUCAUCCACUGGUUCCCCGGCAUCUGUCGUGUCUAAUAUCCGCACUACAAGUACUCCUGGCAAUUUAGGUGUAAGUCCUGCUACCGGAACUAGUACCUUAAAUAAUAUGGGUAGUGGUAGUUCUAGUGUGGCUAGUGGCGUGAUUGGUACUAUAAACUUGAGCAACAUCACAAGUACUGCUAAUGUAAAUGCUUUGUCUGGAACUGGCAGCAAUGUUAAUGUGAAUAUCUUGAGUGGUGUUGGCAAUGGUACGAGUGCUUCCUCUAGUGUCAUUAACAAUGUUACUAAUCCAACUGCAGGAAUGGCAGUUGGAUCAAGCCAGCAGCAGCCUGCAUCUGGCACAUCAAGGUUUAGGGUUGUAAAAUUAGAUUCUAGUUCUGAACCUUUCAAAAAAGGUAGAUGGACAUGCACUGAAUUCUAUGAUAAAGAAAACACCGUUGCAGUUUCAGAAGGAGUAGCAGUAAACAAAGCAGUAGAGACAAUAAAACAAAACCCGCUUGAAGUGACUUCUGAAAGGGAGAGCACCAGUGGGAGUUCUGUUAGCAGCAAUGUAAGCACACUGAGUCACUAUACAGAAAGUGUGGGAAGUGGAGAAAUGGGAGCACCUCCUGUGGUACAGCAGCAAGCAUUUCAAGGUGUGGGUCCGCAGCAGAUGGAUUUUAGCAGUGCUGCUCCUCCGGCAAUUCCAGCAUCAAGUAUACCACAGAGUGUUUCUCAAUCACAGCUUGCACAAGUCCAGCUGCAUUCUCAAGAAGUAAACUAUCCACAGCAGAAGCCAGGGGUCCAGCCUCCUGCACAGGCCAGUCUAACCACUGUUACUGGGGUUCAGCCAGCCCCAGUUAAUAUACUAGGUGUAUCCCCAUCUAUGGGCCACCAGCAGCCUGGCAUUCAAAGUAUGGCUCAACAGCAGCUACCGUAUUCUCAGCCGGCGCCACCUGUGCAGACUUUGCCAGUUGUGCAGCAGCAGCAGUUGCAGUAUGGACAACAGCAGCAGCAGCAGCAGACAGUUCCUACACAGAUGGCCACAGGUCAUGUUAAGUCGAUGAACCAAAACUCUGUGACAGGUUCUGUGCCAGACUACAUUCAGCAUCAGCAGAUCCUUCAGACUCCAGCCCCUGCCAUGCAGCCUAGUUCUACAGGAGUAGGAGCAGGGCAACCAGUUCCCGUUGCCCAGGCACAGGGCAUGCAGCCUUCAGUACAAGCACAUCCAGCUGCUGCCCCAGCUCAGCCUGUUGCACAUGCUCCAGCAGCAAUACCAGGCGUAGGUACCAGUGGUCAAAUGCUGAAUGUUGGGCAGCAAGGGAGUGUAGCUGCUGUGGUGCAACCACCAUCUGCUGCAAACCAAAUUCCACCUCCAGUUAUGCCGUCAACGGCUGCUCCUCCAUCUUCACAAGUAGUGCAGCCUGUGCAGACAGGAAUAAUGCAGCAGGGAUUACAGGCUAGCGCUUCAGGCCUUCCUCAGCAAAUGGUCAUUGCUCAGCAGAGCACUUUGUUACCUGUACAGCCACAGGCACAAGGGGUGGAAUCUGUCGUCCAAGGGAUGACUGGCCAGCAGCUGCCUGCAGUUAGCCCUAUACCUUCUGCUAGUACUGUUCCUGCACCAAGUCAAGCUGGUUCAGCUGUGCCUCCUGGCAUACCUUCUGCUUCUAUAGGUUUGGGACAGCCACAGAACAUAACACAAGCUUCGUCUGUGCAGAAUGGGAAUUUGUCUCAAAGUGUUAGUCAGCCUCCCUUGAUAUCAACAAGUAUAGGUAUGCCAGUGGCACAGAGUGUGCCACAGCAGAUGCCGGUAAGCUCUACACAGUUCCCCGCACAAUCACUAGUUCAGCCCGUUGUAAGCCAAAUUGAAGAUGGCAGACGCCCUACAGAACCUUCCUUGGUGGGUUUACCUCAAGCUGCCAGUGGUGAGAGUGGUGUUGGAGCAUCAGCCGCUUCGGAUGGUGGUAGCAGCAACGUGCCAUCCUCCGCUUCCCUCUUUCCACUGAAGGUGCUGCCAUUGACAACACCUCUUGUAGAUGGUGAGGAUGAAAGUCUUUCUGCCUCCCUAUCCUGGAAGUAUGGAGUCCCUGCCUCAGCCUACGGCUUCAUUCUUUUUCCAGCUGCCCACAAAAGUAAAGACCCAGUGUGAGAGUUUGAAGAAAGAAUCCGCUCAGAGGACUGAGUCUCAAGCAAAAGCUCCAGGUUGCAGACUCAGAAAGAAACUUCCUUUGGGGAAGGAUCUGCUUCCAGGAUUUGCUCGUCUCUUUUUCCUUGGGCAAACAGAGUUCUUGAAGCAAACAACAGGGUUGCAGGACAUCUUCUAACCUUUAUACUGCAUCACAAGCCUUCAGCAGAAGAUCUUGAGAGCCAUUUAUGUUGCUGGAAGAUGACUGGGUUUGGAUCUUGGCCUUCCUUAAGCAGGAUCUUCUGACAAAAAUGGGAUUGGGAAAGAAAUGACUCCUUUUUCCAUCACACAGAGCUGCCCUAGAAAUGGAGGCCUAGGCAGAAAAUAAAUUCUAAUGCAUCAUUCCUUAGGAGAUUUGUUUGGCCUUCCAUGGUUCUUCUGUUACCAUGUCAUAAAGGUAUCUUUUAUAAAACCUAAACCUGGCAUCUUCCUAUCUGAAGAUCCAGUCAAUAAAUCCAAGUUUAAGAGUGUACAGGUCUAAUGCGGUCAGAGCAUGCUGUCUCCUACAUAGGAGAUGCCCUAUGGAUCUGUGAAACAGGGUUUUCCUGUGAUUCAGAGUGUUAUAUCUGUAAAGCCUUUUCUGCUUUAUAGUCCAUUUAAAUUAUUAGAAAAAAUAAAAAGCUUCUGGUGAAUAUGGUAUUUAAUUAGGCCUCAAACUCUCCAAGUUUACUUAAAAACAAGUGAGCCAAAAAUGGCAUCAUGGGCAAUAUGGGAAGUACUGCAUCUUCUGAGGUUUCCUGUGGGUUUGUGUCAAGAGAAGGUAUGUUGAAAGUGUUGAGAGCUGUGAAAGUGGAAAAAAAACUUACAUUUUGCUUUAAGAGUGAAAACUUAUUUGUUAGAAAGCAGAAAGUUUUUAAUUUCCCCCCUCUAAGGGAUUCUGUACUCAAACGGUGUUUCAAGAUCUCAAAUAAAAACCUUAUGUUUGGCAGUAGUGAGCAACACACACACACACACACACACAUGCCUGUGUACUUUUUGUUCUUUUUGCCAUAGGAAAUUAGUUUUGAAGAAUAGGACUGACUUCUAAUGUUCAGAUUAGGUAAGGGGAAAGCUUUGUUCUGAAGCUGAGUGUGAGAAGAGGUGGCAGGAGGGUGACCUGGGUCCACUGGUAGUAGGUAAAGUGCACUCUUGUUUUCCUGUUUCUGCUUCUGGCAGUUGGAGUAAACUAGUCAGAUGCUUGUGCUUGAAUCCAAUUAAUUUCCUAAAUCAGUUACCACAAAACAUUGUUUUUUAACUAAUGCCUAGAUCUCUUAUUAAAUGCACCAGCCUAUUUAAAUUAUUGAGCAGUCUUAACAUAGCCCUGGGGCUACUGCUUCAUGGCAGUUGUGACUUCUUACUGUGCUGGAAUGCAUUGCAGUCUUAGUACAUUCUAAAAAUAAUUGUUCAGAUGGUGCUGUUUAAGUACAUACUUAUGUAGUGAGCCAUUUUCACUGGACUUUUUAAAAUUUGGGCUCUGUUGGAUGGCUUUUUAAUACCCUAUUUUUAUUCCCUGUGAAUACCCAGUUUCUUUGUCUUGAUGCUUCUGUGGUUAUCGAGUAAAAUGCUAAAUUUAUAACCUGGUAUUUUUAGAAAACUGAUAGUCAGAUGUAUGUGUUAAACUAUGCAACCACAGUAACACUUGUGAACUUUGAAAUUUAAAGAGAAAUCACUUUACUGUAUCAAAUUUUAUAUUUUUUUUUAGUAUGUGGAAAUAUGUUUGUGAUGACCUUAAAACUGAGUAGUUGUUACAGGUAUAGACAUGGAUUGUGUGCUGAACAUGAGUAACCUAGAAGUUAGAAGCUGGAGAUAUGCGAGUCUUGGAAAUAAAUACUGCUGUCUGUGGGAGAGAUGUGUGCCAGCAGUGCUUUUACUUGAAAAUACCUGCUUUUCUAACUUUGCCCCCAUUUAAAGUCUGGUAUAUUUUUUUGCCUUCUUUAAAAGGUGUACUUGCCUCACUCACAGCUGUUGAUCAUUUUGUUCUGUAGAAUAAGGUAAUUUAAGGCCAUCAAAUACUUAGUAGGAGCACUGAGAACUGUUUCUAAUGUUAUUGUCUCAGUUGCUAAAAUGACUUUAACCCCCACAUCCCAAUGAGGAAAAGAACCCCAAACAAGCCAGAAAGCCUGUUGUUGUUCUACAGUCAGUAUUUUGAUACUUCUUGUCUAUUACCAUUGUGUUAGUGUGUUACUAUCAUGCUCAUAGUUCUGCAGCUGGAAUCCUGGGUUCUUGAUACAUCUUUAGAACAAUAACUCCUGCCUUUGUGUUAUUAAAAAAUAAAGAUAUCUGAAACCA